GUCCCUGUAGUGCAAUGGCUAGCACGUUGGACUUCUAAUUCAGAGAUCGUGGUUUCAAUCUCACCUGAGAUG